UGCGUAGGCGGCUCCUUAAGUCAGAUGUGAAAGCCCCGGGCUUAACCUGGGAACUGCGUUUGAAACUGGGGAGCUAGAGUGUGGAAGAGGGGGGUGGAAUUCCAGGUGUAGCAGUGAAAUGCGUAGAGAUCUGGAGGAACACCGAUGGCGAAGGCAGCCCCCUGGGCUAACACUGACGCUCAGGCACGAAAGCGUGGGGAGCAAACA
rnacentral:rRNA from 1 species